rnacentral:rRNA from 1 species
AAUAGAUACCCCGGUAGUCCACGCCGUAAACGAUGAGUGCUAAGUGUUAGGGGGUUUCCGCCCCUUAGUGCUGCAGCUAACGCAUUAAGCACUCCGCCUGGGGAGUACGGUCGCAAGACUGAAACUCAAAGGAAUUGACGGGGGCCCGCACAAGCGGUGGGGCAUGUGGUUUAAUUCGAAGCAACGCGAAGAACCUUACCAGGUCUUGACAUCCCAUUGACCGCUAUGGAGACAUAGCUUUCCCUUCGGGGACAGUGGUGACAGGUGGUGCAUGGUUGUCGUCAGCUCGUGUCGUGAGAUGUUGGGUUAAGUCCCGCAACGAGCGCAACCCUUGUUUUUAGUUGCCAUCAUUUAGUUGGGCACUCUAAGGAGACUGCCGGUGACAAACCGGAGGAAGGUGGGGAUGACGUCAAAUCAUCAUGCCCCUUAUGACCUGGGCUACACACGUGCUACAAUGGACGGUACAAACGGUUGCCAACCCGCGAGGGGGAGCUAAUCCGAUAAAACCGUUCUCAGUUCGGAUUGUAGGCUGCAACUCGCCUACAUGAAGCCG